AGCCUCCAAACAACUAGAACGGAGCUUCUGAAGAGCUCUCGACCACCUCAACCUGGAGAAGGAGAGCAUGCCUUCCAGAAUAAUGGAAAUGAAGAAGAAACCCCAGCUUCAAGAAUUUGGAUGGUUCAGAGGCCAUCGGCGGCAAAAGUUACUGACCAAAGAACUGCCUAUGGUGUUUGGUGAGGUGGACUAUCCCAGCAGAAACCACAAGAAGUAACUGUUUACCUGGGUGGUGAAGAGCACGGCAGUUACCAAGGUGACCACCUGCAGGACCAAGCCACUGGAGCACAGCACUGGCCACUGG